CGCUAUCACUCCUACGGGGAGGCAGCAGUGGGGAAUAUUGCACAAUGGGGGAAGCCCUGAUGCAGCCAUGCCGCGUGUGUGAAGAAGGCCUUCGGGUUGUAAAGCACUUUCAGUAGGGAGGAAGGUAGUGUAGUUAACACCUGCACUAUUUGACGUUACCUACAGAAGAAAGCACCGGCUAACUCCGUGCCAGCAGCCGCGGUAAUACGGAGGGUGCGAGCGUUAAUCGGAAUUACUGGGCGUAAAGCGCAUGCAGGCGGCCUGUUAAGUCAGAUGUGAAAGCCCGGGGCUUAACCUCGGAAUUGCAUUUGAAACUAGGCAGGCUAGAGUCUUGUAGAGGGGGGUAGGAAUUUCAGGUGUAGCGGUGAAAUGCGUAGAGAUCUGAAGGAAUACCAGUGGCGAAGGCGGCCCCCUGGACAAAGACUGACGCUCAGAUGCGAAAGCGUGGGGAGCAAACAGGAUUAGAUACCCUGGUAG
rnacentral:rRNA from 1 species